ACCUUGGGGUCCUGGUAGCAGUUUUUGGUUCAUUGCUGCUAGGCUAAGUCGGCGGGCGUAUUGGUGUCAGCAUUUCUUGUUGGAACCGCGGGUUCAGUUUUUAUUACGUCAAGUGAUGGCAGAUAUGUGUCAUGUAUGGCUACUGUAUUAAAUGCUACAUACGCUGACAGCAGUCCACUGCCUCCGUGGGAAUGGUGUGACAAAGAACGAAACCUGACUGCUGCCCAGAAGAAAGCAGAGAGAGCAUAUAUCUGGGUCUAAGGGGACAGGUUUUGGCCUCCUUCUCUUAUGCUCAAUUGCAAUACUGUGUCUUGAAUACUUCUUGAAUCGACAUUCUGGAGCACCCAAUCCACAGAUAGUGGCAGAGCAGGGAAAUGCUGGGGCACAGAGGAGGGGCGAUAUUGAAAUGGAUGAAAGGCAGAGACCUGCUGGGACGGAGGAAAGCACUAGACAGCAGGCACAUGCCGGGGUAGAGCAGGGUAUUGCUGUUACAGAGACUGCGGCAGAACAGGGUGCUGAUGAGACACAGGCCGCAGGAGAACAGGGCACUGAUGAGACACAGGCUGGGGAAGAGUCUGAAACGGAUCCACUGCAGGGCACAGACAGGACAUAGGAAAGCAGAAAAUAGCAGACAUCUACACAUAAAUUUAGAUGCUGAACUGUCAUCAAAGUCUGCACAGCUUUUUAGAACAAAGAGCUAACAAGAAAGCAUCACUUAAUCACUGUAACAUUUUAUCCUCUUUGAAAUCUUUAUGCUUUUUAUGAGUAGACAUUUUUUGCAUCAUGUUUAUGUUCUUUUGUUUGUGAUUUACUGGAGGAAAGAUGGUUAUUUUCAAACUUAAACUUUUACACAGUUAUAACAGUUACUUUUUUUCUGAAUGUUGUGUUUAAUGGCUUUUCCUGAAGUUUUAAUUU